rnacentral:rRNA from 1 species
CCCUUUAAAGGAGGGAGCAGGCGCGCAAUUACCCAAUCCUGACUCAGGGAGGUAGUGACAAGAAAUAACAAUAAACCGGCUUAUGCCGGUUUAAUUGGAAUGAGUACAAUUUAAACAUCUUAACGAGGAACAAUUGGAGGGCAAGUCUGGUGCCAGCAGCCGCGGUAAUUCCAGCUCCAAUAGCGUAUACUAAAGUUGUUGCAGUUAAAAAGCUCGUAGUUGGAUUUCUGUGGGGACGGAGCGGCCGGCCGCACAUCGCGGUUCGAGCUAGCGCUUUCCCUACAUCCUGCCGCGAACCGUGCUACCAUUAAUUUGGUGGCGCCGGGGAUCGGCUCGAUUACUUUGAGAAAAAUAGAGUGUUCAAAGCAGGCCACAUGCCUUGAAUAAGUUAGCAUGGAAUAAUAACUAAGGACUUCGGUUCUAUUUUGUUGGUGUUCGGGACUGAAGUAAUGAUUGAUAGGGACAGUUGGGGCGGUCUGUAUUCCAAAGCGAGAGGUGAAAUUCUUAGACCUUCGGAAGACAAACAGCUGCGAAAGCGUUCCGCAAGGAUGUUCCCUUUGAUCAAGAACGAAAGUUGGGGGAUCGAAGACGAUCAGAUACCGUCGUAGUCUCAACUAUAAACUAUACCAGCUAGGGAUCGGCCAACGUUAUUUUAUACCGACUUGGUCGGCACCUUAUGAGAAAUCAAAGCAUCUGGGUUCCGGGGGGAGUAUGGUCGCAAGGCUGAAACUUAAAGGAAUUGACGGAAGGGCACCACCAGCCGUGGAGCCUGUGGCUUAAUUUGACUCAACACGGGAAAACUUACCAGGUCCAGACAUAGUAAGGAUUGACAGAUUGAUAGCUCUUUCUUGAUUCUGUGGGUGGUGGUGCAUGGCCGUUCUUAGUUGGUGGAGUGAUUUGUCUGGUUAAUUCCGUUAACGAACGAGACCCCAGCCUGCUAAAUAGCGCGCGUGAGCUUUGCUCGCGGCGAGCUUCUUAGAGGGACUCUGAUGCGCGAUAGCACAUGGAAGUUUGGGGCAAUAACAGGUCUGUGAUGCCCUUAGAUGUUCUGGGCCGCACACGGGCUACACUGGCGCCUGCAACGAGCAUAUCAGCUGGCCCGAGAGGGUCUUGGCUAAUCUUUUGAACCGGCGCCGUGCUUGGGAUUGACCUUUGCAAUUGUUGGUCAUGCAACGAGGAAUGCCUUGUAAACGCGAGUCAUCAGCUCGCAUUGAAUACGUCCCUGCCCUUUGUACACACCGCCCGUCGCUCCUACCGAUGAAUGUUCCGAUGAAAUUUUCGGAGAGCACCUGUGAACUUGGCUCUGCCUUGCGAACGGGAGGCUCAAAGUCACAUAAAUCUAACAUUAAAG